AUGGAUUAAGAGCUUGCUCUUAUGAAGUUAGCGGCGGACGGGUGAGUAACACGUGGGUAACCUGCCCAUAAGACUGGGAUAACUCCGGGAAACCGGGGCUAAUACCGGAUAACAUUUUGAACCGCAUGGUUCGAAAUUGAAAGGCGGCUUCGGCUGUCACUUAUGGAUGGACCCGCGUCGCAUUAGCUAGUUGGUGAGGUAACGGCUCACCAAGGCAACGAUGCGUAGCCGACCUGAGAGGGUGAUCGGCCACACUGGGACUGAGACACGGCCCAGACUCCUACGGGAGGCAGCAGUAGGGAAUCUUCCGCAAUGGACGAAAGUCUGACGGAGCAACGCCGCGUGAGUGAUGAAGGCUUUCGGGUCGUAAAACUCUGUUGUUAGGGAAGAACAAGUGCUAGUUGAAUAAGCUGGCACCUUGACGGUACCUAACCAGAAAGCCACGGCUAACUACGUGCCAGCAGCCGCGGUAAUACGUAGGUGGCAAGCGUUAUCCGGAAUUAUUGGGCGUAAAGCGCGCGCAGGUGGUUUCUUAAGUCUGAUGUGAAAGCCCACGGCUCAACCGUGGAGGGUCAUUGGAAACUGGGAGACUUGAGUGCAGAAGAGGAAAGUGGAAUUCCAUGUGUAGCGGUGAAAUGCGUAGAGAUAUGGAGGAACACCAGUGGCGAAGGCGACUUUCUGGUCUGUAACUGACACUGAGGCGCGAAAGCGUGGGGAGCA
rnacentral:rRNA from 1 species